rnacentral:rRNA from 1 species
GGAGGAAGGUGGGGACGACGUCAAGUCAUCAUGCCCCUUAUGACCUGGGCUACACACGUGCUACAAUGGACGGUACAACGAGUCGCGAACUCGCGAGAGUAAGCUAAUCUCUUAAAGCCGUUCUCAGUUCGGACUGUAGGCUGCAACUCGCCUACACGAAGUCGGAAUCGCUAGUAAUCGCGGAUCAGCAUGCCGCGGUGAAU